rnacentral:rRNA from 1 species
CCUGCACGUUCGGGAUAAGCCGUAGGGAAACUGGGUCUAAUACCGGAUAGGAGCCAUUUUUAGUGUGAUGGUUGGAAAGUUUUUCGGUGUAGGAUGAGCUCGCGGCCUAUCAGCUUGUUGGUGGGGUAAUGGCCUACCAAGGCGGCGACGGGUAGCCGGCCUGAGAGGGUGGACGGCCACAUUGGGACUGAGAUACGGCCCAG